rnacentral:misc_RNA from 1 species
UCGAGUUAGGGUCCUCUGGGCCCGACCUCCAACCCUGUGUUUAAUUACCACGUUGCUUUGGCGGGCCCGUCUCACGACCGCCGGGGGCCUCACCCCUCUGGCCCGUGCCCGUCAAUGGCCCCUUCAAAUUCUUGACAAAAUGUGAUGUCUGAGUUAUAAAUUUAAUAGUUA